rnacentral:snRNA from 1 species
AUACCUUUCUGGCCUUUUGGCUAAGAUCAAGUGUAGUAUCUGUUCUUAUUAGUGUAAUAUCUGAUAACUUGAGCCAUUUUUUAACGGGAAGGACCCAUGGUAAUGGUAGCUUGCCUACUCAGGAUUCCCUUUGUGUCACACCCUUGCUUUGCACUUCCGUGAGGGUUUGGCACACCCACC